rnacentral:lncRNA from 1 species
AAAAAUCAAAAUUCUAAUAUUUCUUUUAUCCUCUGAAGAGAGGAUGUGAUAUGUGAUGGAACCAAGGCGUUUAAUAAUUGUAUGUUGAUAAUUUAUAUAUGGGUUCACAAUAUGGAUAACCUUUCACUUAACAUAAUACCAUUAGGGACUCAUACCAUUAUUGGUGAAAAUUAGGGGGAUACCAGAUCAAAUUCUCAAGCACUCCUCCUCAAUUUUAAUCCUAUAUACUCCUUUCUGUAAAUUUAAUUUAAUAUUUUCAUUUUUAUUUAAUUUAAAAAGACCCAUAAACCCUUAUUGAAUUUACAUAUUUACUAAUUAUACCAUCUUCUUUAACCUAAUUUAAUCAUUUCCUCUCAUCCACAUAAUUCAUUCUACGCUUCUUCUCCUUCUUUUUCUUUUUCAAGUUCUUCUUUUUUCACUUCUCUUCGUCAUUGAUUCUCACCAAAGAGUGAGGUUUAGAUUUUAUUUUCUUUUUCUUAUUCUUUGUCUUUUACAAUUUUGGAAUGGGAUUUGGAAUUGUUCUCCAUGUUUCUUCUUUUCGGAUAUCUUCUUAUUUUUUCGUUUUUUUUCUCAUUCGGUUUCCCUCUCUUUCCAUCCGAUUUCCUAGAUUUAGAAAGAAAAUAUGAACUAUGAAAAAUUAAAACUACAAACCCAGAAAAACCAGUCACACCAAGUUAUACCACCGCUCGAGUCUAACUUGGUAAAAGUGUAUAGUUUUGUAUAACUAGAACUUAGUUAUACUAAAUUGACCAUUGUUGAAUGGUACAACAUAACUAGAGUUUUAUUUAUACGAAGUUUCAAACAAUUGUACAAUUUGGUAUAACUAUAAGCUAGUUAAACCAAGUUUUACUCUCACCUAUUGAAAUAAUUUUGAAUUUUAAUUUUUAAUUGGGGGGGGGGACAAGUGAAAUGAAAGACUCUUUAUACGGAUUAGGUGAAAAAAAAUCAGUUUUGCUAUUUUGUGAAUUUGGUAACACACCAAUAUCAUUAGAGCAUCUCCAACCCGCUCCAUAUUUUACUCCAAUAUGGAGUGAAAAAUUGAGUAAUGAAAAAAAAACAUUACUCUAUAAAUGGAGUAAUGUAUUAUGUUUUGUUCAUUACUCUAUUUUGUAGUAAAAUGUGAAAUAGAGUUGGAGAUGCUCUUGAACUUUAGGGUAGUCACAUCCCUUCCCACACACCUAGGCCGACUAUGCAAGUCUCUUUGUUGCCUUGGGAGUUGGGACAACAUACAUUUUCCCCUCAUACCAUUGCCUUAAUUUUAAUACUAGAAGGAGCAGGCAGAACGUUGAACAUGAAUUAGAAAUACUAUACUCACCUUUUUAAUUGAAGAUGUCUAGAAAAACAAAAGGAUAUACUUGUGUAACAAAAAAAAAAAAAAAACCUCAAAAUUUUGUUAGUAGAAGUUCAUAGUCACUUCUCUCCAUUACUUUUGUUGUGAGAUAGAGAUCUAGGUAUUUGAUUGGCAACACAGAUACAGACAAACCAACUCUUUAUGCCUCAUCCUCAAGGAAUGAUUUUCCCGGACAUGCCGCAAAGACCAUAAAUUUCACAAUGUUAAUGUACAGACCUGACAUGCAAACACCAUCAGCAAAGACUCCAAAGUAAUAAGAGUUAGGGAUACAAUCAAUAAACAGUCCAGUAUCAUCAGUAAAACUAAUGUGGGAUAGAUUAAUUUCGCGACACCUGUUUAUAAUUUGGAUAGGACGUUAUUCACAAUCACAUACAAAUAAGAAAUAGAAAACAUCCUUGUCGACCACUCUAGAUCUCAAGAAAAACCCAUUCAAUUUACCAUUAAUUGAGACCGAGAAAGCAGUUGUAUCAAUACACCUCAUAAUCUAUGUUACAGAG